rnacentral:rRNA from 1 species
UGCAGUCGAACGGAACGACAGGAGCUUGCUCCUGGGCGUCGAGUGGCGGACGGGUGAGUAAUGCAUAGGAAUCUGCCCAUGUAGUGGGGGACAACCUGGGGAAACUCAGGCUAAUACCGCAUGAGCCCUUCGGGGGAAAGCAGGGGAUCUUCGGACCUUGCGCUAUUGGAUGAGCCUAUGUCUGAUUAGCUUGUUGGUGGGGUAACGGCCUACCAAGGCGACGAUCAGUAGCUGGUCUGAGAGGACGAUCAGCCACACUGGGACUGAGACACGGCCCAGACUCCUACGGGAGGCAGCAGUGGGGAAUAUUGGACAAUGGGCGCAAGCCUGAUCCAGCCACGCCGCGUGUGUGAUGAAGGCCUUCGGGUCGUAAAGCACUGUGGGGAGAGACGAAACAGCGCGCCAGGAAAUGGGUGCGCCUUGACGGUACCUCCUUAGCAAGCACCGGCUAACUCUGUGCCAGCAGCCGCGGUAAUACG